AACACCCUUCGAAGCAGAAGUGGCGGCCUUUUGAGCCACAACCUUGGCGAGGUCACUGAGCUUGAGUCUCUUAGACAUAGCCGAUCACUAAUUUAUGAGGCGUCCUAGAAGGUGAGACGUCGGAGCAGGUCCAAUAGUACAAUAGUAAGGUCGAAAAGUACCGAGGGACAAGGGAGCCCCCUAUAUAUAGAGAUAAUCAACGGUCCAGAUCUACUCAUAACAACGAUUGGGAUGUGGGGACGCUUCGAACAGAGUUCCGCAUUUAAGACCUCCUUGCCACGUGGGCUCCAUCGAGUAGUGCCACCAUC
rnacentral:lncRNA from 1 species